CUGGAGGUGUAAGAAACUGACAAUUUUCAAGGGUUUUUGGAGUGUGUAGAGGAUGGGAAGUAGGGUUGAUGUUCAGCAUUAUAAUCUAAGAUCAGCAAAUCCAUACAGUACUUCAUUACAUGAUACAUUGAUGGUAUUGGUGGUGCUGAUGCUGUUACUGAAGAUAGCUUGGAUAAUGAAGAUGGUUCUAAUUCUGUGGUGACUGGAUUGCAUAUCGGAUUCAUAUAAGAAUUCGAUUAGGAUGUAUGGGGUUGAUGUUGAAGAUGAUCGGUCAACGUUCGAAACGAGCGAGUCUUCUAGGACAAUGGUUGAUAUGUUGACUACUGAUGAUGUAUUACCAAUUGAAACUACAAGGGCACGAUUUUUACAGGUUAUAGUGGAUAAUUUUAUUACGGACCAUGUGAUUGAGUUACCGGAUUCUGAGCAUGACUACAGCGUGCAGUGUGGGGAAGAUAAACAAAACAAGAGGAAAUCUGGAGAAGCUCAAUAUGAAGGUGAUCCAAGGUUUGCGUUGCCACUGAUGUAUGUGGCUAAUUUGUAUGAGAAUUUAGUCCUUAAUGUGAAUAGAAGGCUUGCAUCUCUGGAUGGAAUUCGUGACAGCACUAAGAGCAUUGGGGUAGCACUUGAAGCAGCUGGUGGUUUGUAUAGAAAGCUGGCAAAAAAGUAUCCGCGGAAAGGAACUUAUUCUUAUAAAAGAAGAGAAUUGGCUACUUCUCUUGAAACAAGGGCAAGAUUUCCAGAGCUAGUUAUAAAUGAAGAAAAACGGGUCCGCUUUGUAGUAGUCAAUGGUUUAGAGAUUGUUGAAAAACCAAAUAAUAUGCCAGUGGAAGAUGCAGAGUGGUUCAAACGGUUGACUGGUCGCAGUGAAGUGGCUAUUUCUGACCGUGAUUAUAAAUUUUACACUCCCAGACAUAAAAACAGACGAGUGGCGUCCAAUCCAGUGUCUAAUAUCCCUGGGCUACCAGCAUUCUCUGGCGUGGACAACUCUCCUAUGGCAUCUUUUCCUGGAUUCCGUCCUCUAAGUGACCCUCAAAAUCAGCAGCAGUCUCAGGUGAAACAUCACAUCCAACCCCUGUCACUUCAACCUCAGUUUCAUCACUUGCAUCAAACUCACCAACAAACCAUGCAUCAGAAUCAACAUGCAUCUCAAUUCUCUCAUGCGCAUCAGUGUUCUCCUACUCAUUUGCCUGAGAUUUCUCAUUCACACCAACUGCCAUAGGUUUCACAACACAUGGCUUGUUUGCAAUCCCUGACGGGCAACCACAUGGGAGCACGUAUGCAUGUGCUGCACACAACCCCUGCCAAGUACUGUGAUGAAUGUGGGGCACCAUAUUUGAGAGAAUCCUCCAAGUUUUGUUCAGAAUGUGGUGUUAAGAGGUUAGGAACCUGAUAU